GUCGAACGCGUCCCGGUUGAUGAAGUUGAGUGCUUGCACUUGAUUGAUUCAACUUGGUGACGAGUGGCGAACUGGUGAGUAACACGUGGGUAACCUGCCCCGAAGCGGGGGAUAACAUUUGGAAACAGGUGCUAAUACCGCAUAACAACCAAAACCACCUGGUUUUGGUUUGAAAGACGGCUUCGGCUGUCACUUUGGGAUGGACCCGCGGCGUAUUAGCUAGUUGGUGAGGUAACGGCUCACCAAGGCGAUGAUACGUAGCCGACCUGAGAGGGUAAUCGGCCACAUUGGGACUGAGACACGGCCCAAACUCCUACGGGAGGCAGCAGUAGGGAAUCUUCCACAAUGGACGCAAGUCUGAUGGAGCAACGCCGCGUGAGUGAUGAAGGGUUUCGGCUCGUAAAACUCUGUUGUUGGAGAAGAACGGGUGUCAGAGUAACUGUUGACAUCGUGACGGUAUCCAACCAGAAAGCCACGGCUAACUACGUGCCAGCAGCCGCGGUAAUACGUAGGUGGCAAGCGUUGUCCGGAUUUAUUGGGCGUAAAGCGAGCGCAGGCGGUUUUUUAGGUCUGAUGUGAAAGCCUUCGGCUUAACCGGAGAAGUGCAUCGGAAACCGGGAGACUUGAGUGCAGAAGAGGACAGUGGAACUCCAUGUGUAGCGGUGAAAUGCGUAGAUAUAUGGAAGAACACCA
rnacentral:rRNA from 1 species